GUAGGGAAUAUUGGGCAAUGGAUGCAAGUCUGAUCCAGCCAUGCCGCGUGUGUGAAGAAGGUCUUCGGAUUGUAAAGCACUUUAAGUUGGGAGGAAGGGCAGUAAGUUAAUACCUUGCUGUUUUGACGUUACCGACAGAAUAAGCACCGGCUAACUUCGUGCCAGCAGCCGCGGUAAUACGAAGGGUGCAAGCGUUAAUCGGAAUUACUGGGCGUAAAGCGCGCGUAGGUGGUUUUGUAAGUUGGAGGUGAAAUCCCCGGGCUCAACCUGGGAACUGCCUCCAAAACUGCAUGACUAGAGUACGGUAGAGGGUAGUGGAAUUUCCUGUGUAGCGGUGAAAUGCGUAGAUAUAGGAAGGAACACCAGUGGCGAAGGCGACUACCUGGACUGAUACUGACACUGAGGUGCGAAAGCGUGGGGAGCAAACAGGAUUAGAAACCCCAGUAGUCC
rnacentral:rRNA from 1 species